AUUAAUUCCCCGCGCUCAACUCCCUUCUUCUUCCCUUACCUUUCCUGCGUCGUCCACUUUAAAAAAUAAAAAAUUCCCUGCGUCGCCCAAAAAGCUUUCCCUGCGUCGUCAAUCUAGCUUCCUCGUCGGUGGUUCUGGCCUCCUCGCCAGUCGCCGGUGGCUCUUUUCUCGCCUCCUCUCCAGUCGCCGGUAGCUCUUUAAUUCCUCGCCUCCUCUCCAGUCGACGUUUGAAGAUGAACGAGAUGCUGAAGAUGUUGUGCACGGAGUUUUGAUUGAUUUCUCUAAAAAGCUGCGAAAUUGCCCUCAAAACCCCUGCCCCCAUCUCAAGCUGGUGAAGUUUUGAUUGAUUUUACACUCUUGAGCAGAAAUACAUACUAUGAGCUCCACCUGUUCGAUAAAAUGUCUGAGAAAGAUGACAAUAUGACUAAGAGCUCCACCUGCAAUUUGAAAACCGCAAGAGGUUCAGCCCUGAAUCAUGAUUUUUUCGUAUACCGACAUAUGAGAAGGUAGUUAGAGAUUCUAACCUUGUUUAUAAAGUUCCCAUCCUCAGGAUUAAAGUACUUGGCCAUUUCGGGGCAGUAGAGAUUUUUUCCUUCAGAGCUAAAUUGACUAGCCUGCAGGGGUUCUCUGGGGCAGAAGGUAGAUCUUCAGUUAUUAAUUAGACCUGUCCUGUUUAUUAUGACGAAGCCUUCAAUAUAAUCAAAUGAAUUAUCUGAUGGUAUUAGCUGUUCUUGAUCCUUGGUAAAUAAGUUGAAAUCUAAGUAUAGUACUCUAAUCCAUUUCACCUGUUGGAGUGUGGAAAAAGUUUUCAGGUGACCACAGGGACCUUUAUGAUUCAACAGUUGAAGUCAGAUUAACGAUGGGAUACUUACCGAUCUGGGAGCUGGCUCUAGAGAGAUUCUGGCCCUAGUGAUGAUGCCAAACUGCCCUAGUCCCCCAAGAACACCAUAAAAGAGCGCUAAUGACUGCUUAGAAGAAGGUUCUGUUGUGACUGAUGGUACCAGCAACAAUACUCUAGUAUCUCCUGGUAUGGCUUUGUUCUGAAAUGGAUUCUGCACAACAUGAAGCUUACAGUUUUGCAACUAAUUUAGUCGUUGAAGUCAUCAGUCAGCAAGAGCUUUGAGUCCUCUCAGAACGAGAACACAAUCCCAGAAUUGAAAUAUGCAUGGGUUCGAAGAAGUGAUUGUCUCGACUGUACUGCUAUCCACCAUCACUCUCAUGAUUGCGCUUGUCACUCGUGCCUACGAAGUAUAACAUGGAGGGGACAUACUUGUGGACUAUGGACUGUGGCCUGUAGUUAUGCUAUCUGAAUCACUAAUCAGUUUGCUCAAACAACCUGGUAACUGCAAAUUACUUGUACAAGUUUAAAUGGCAAGACGGAGAAAGAAAAAUCAGCAUUUAUAAUUUCAGUUCAUUGGUGAAGAAACUACAGCUGCCUUUGGUGCUACAGAGUUGACGGAUGAUCCUACAUGGAUUGUUGACCCACUUGAUGGGCCAACUAACUUUGUGCAUGGGUUCCCCGUUUGUUUGUGUUUAUAUUGGUCUCACCAUUGGAAAAGUCCCAACUGUCGGUGUCGUGUAUAAUCCAAUUAUAAAUGAGGUCUACACUCCGAGGAUUGCGCCUUAUGCGAGGAAUUUGAUGUGGUUCAUGAGCAAUGGGCUAAGUUUUUUACCAGCAAGUAUUUAUUAUUGGCUUUAGCGCGCUUGAUCGAGUUGGUUUAGUUGUUAUAGAAUAAAUUUUAUAUUAAAAUGUAUGUUUAUGUUGAAAUUGGAACAUAUAUUUAAAUGUAAUAUGUGCACUUAAUUUGGUUUUGGGAUAUAUAGUAUACAAAACUCCAGUUGUUGUUUUUAUAUUUGUUAUACAG